UUAUAAAUAAGAAGAGAUUUAAUGGACUUACAGUUCCACAUGGCUAGGGAGGCCCCACAUUCAUGGUUGAAGGCAAGGAGGAGUCAAAGCAAAGACACAUCU